GGGNUCAACAAACAUGGCAAAAGUGUUCUCAACACUAACAUGAACCCUNUCCUCACCAAGGAAACUGUUUCUCUCAAGCACACUGGUGUAUAGGGAUGCGUGUUUCUCACUCUUAGCAACACANGGUCACACAAUUCAACUUUGCCUUUCAUUUCUACCACAAUGAAGACAUUCACCUGCAAGUUUGCAUCACAAGGACUUUCAAGGCUUGUAUUUUGGUUGGGCUAAGAAAGAAUUUUGGUUUUUCUAGAUACAAAACACCUUUAGCUAAGAGAGCAUUCAAAUCAGCAAUUAUACAUCCUACUCUUCUUAACUUCAAGCAGUUACAACCAAUUUUCAAUUCUCUUUCCAACUUUUCAUCUAUUGAUUCAUUUUCUUGCUCUUGUUGCUUUUUCUUCUUUUUCUUCUUUUUCUUCUUUUUCUUUUUGCUUUUCUUGUCAUUUUCUUUUUGCAACCUCAACCACCCCAAACUUAAACCAUUUUCCUCUACCAAAAUGA
rnacentral:lncRNA from 1 species